rnacentral:rRNA from 1 species
CCUACGGGAGGCAGCAGUGAGGAAUAUUGGUCAAUGGACGAGAGUCUGAACCAGCCAAGUAGCGUGAAGGAUGACUGCCCUAUGGGUUGUAAACUUCUUUUAUAUGGGAAUAAAAUGUUCCACGUGUGGGAUUUUGUAUGUACCAUAUGAAUAAGGAUCGGCUAACUCCGUGCCAGCAGCCGCGGUAAUACGGAGGAUCCGAGCGUUAGCCGGAUUUAUUGGGUUUAAAGGGAGCUUAGGUGGAUUGUUAAGUCAGUUGUGAAAGUUUGCGGCUCAACCGUAAAAUUGCAGUUGAAACUGGCAGUCUUGAGUACAGUAGAGGUGGGCGGAAUUCGUGGUGUAGCGGUGAAAUGCUUAGAUAUCACGAAGAACUCCGAUUGCGAAGGCAGUUCACUGGACUGCAACUGACACUGAGGCUCGAAAGUGUGGGUAUCAAACAGGAUUAGAUACCCGUGUAGUC